GAUGAACGCUGGCGGCGUGCCUAAUACAUGCAAGUCGAGCGAACAGACGAGGAGCUUGCUCCUCUGACGUUAGCGGCGGACGGGUGAGUAACACGUGGAUAACCUACCUAUAAGACUGGGAUAACUUCGGGAAACCGGAGCUAAUACCGGAUAAUAUAUUGAACCGCAUGGUUCAAUAGUGAAAGACGGUUUUGCUGUCACUUAUAGAUGGAUCCGCGCCGCAUUAGCUAGUUGGUAAGGUAACGGCUUACCAAGGCAACGAUGCGUAGCCGACAUGAGAGGGUGAUCGGCCACACUGGAACUGAGACACGGUCCAGACUCCUACGGGAGGAAGCAGGAGGGAAUCGUCCGCAAUGGGCGAAAGCCUGACGGAGCAACGCCGCGUGAGUGAUGAAGGUCUUCGGAUCGUAAAACUCUGUUAUUAGGGAAGAACAAAUGUGUAAGUAACUAUGCACGUCUUGACGGUAACUAAUCAGAAAGCCACGGCUAACUACGUG
rnacentral:rRNA from 1 species